UCAUUGAAUUGUUACAUGUGCAAUCACUAUUGUAUAUGAGCUGUUCAGAUAUGUGUGAUGUACACGUGCGCAGGGAUCUUUGUCCUUUGUGAUUAGUGUAAUUGUGCAUACCCAUCUUGUUUGUGAGUCUCUUGGUCAUUCCAAACUAAGCUAAUCAUCCUGUACUUUAUCUUCAUGCAACAGUUUUUUCUGCUAAAUUAA
rnacentral:lncRNA from 1 species